rnacentral:rRNA from 1 species
UACGUAGGGUGCAAGCGUUGUCCGGAAUUAUUGGGCGUAAAGAGCUCGUAGGCGGUUCGUCGCGUCGGCUGUGAAAACCUGAGGCUCAACCUCAGGCCUGCAGUCGAUACGGGCGGACUUGAGUACUGCAGGGGAGACUGGAAUUCCUGGUGUAGCGGUGAAAUGCGCAGAUAUCAGGAGGAACACCGGUGGCGAAGGCGGGUCUCUGGGCCAAAAACUGACGCUGAGGAGCGAAAGCGUGGGGAGCGAACAGG